rnacentral:rRNA from 1 species
CAACGCUGGCGGCGUGCCUCAGACAUGCAAGUCGAACGCGAAAGCCCCCUUCGGGGGGCAAGUAGAGUGGCGCACGGGUGAGUAACACGUAGGUAAUCUACCUUCGGAUGGGGAAUAACAACCGGAAACGGUUGCUAAUACCGCAUAAUGCAGCGGCACCUAAUGGUGACAGUUGUUAAAGCGGGGGAUCGAAAGACCUCGCGUCUGAAGAGGAGCCUGCGGCGGAUUAGCUAGUUGGUAAGGUAACGGCUUACCAAGGCGACGAUCCGUAGCCGGCCUGAGAGGGCGGUCGGCCACACUGACACUGACAUACGGGUCAGACUCCUACGGGAGGCAGCAGUCGGGAAUUUUGGGCAAUGGGCGAAAGCCUGACCCAGCAACGCCGCGUGAAGGAUGAAAUCCCUCGGGAUGUAAACUUCGCAAGAACGGGAAGAAUAAGUAGGGGACAAUACCCCCUAUGAUGACGGUACCGUUUGUAAGCUCCGGCUAACUCCGUGCCAGCAGCCGCGGUAAUACGGGGGGAGCAAGCGUUGUUCGGAUUUACUGGGCGUAAAGGGCGCGUAGGCGGCCAGCACAAGUCAGUUGUGAAAUCUCCGAGCUUAACUCGGAAAGGUCAACUGAUACUGUGCGGCUAGAGUGCGGAAGGGGCAACUGGAAUUCUUGGUGUAGCGGUGAAAUGCCGUAGAUAUCAAGAGGAACACCUGCGGCGAAGGCGGGUUGCUGGGCCGACACUGACGCUGAGGCGCGAAAGCUAG